rnacentral:rRNA from 1 species
AUUGAACGCUGGCGGCAGGCCUAACACAUGCAAGUCGAGCGGUUGAAGGGCGCUUGCUCCUGGAUUCAGUGGCGGACGGGUGAGUAAUGCCUAGGCAUCUGCCUGGUAGUGGGGGAUUACGUCCGGAAACGGGCGCUAAUACCCCAUACGUUCUGAGGGUGCAAGUGGGGGAUCCUCGGACCUCCCGCUAUCAGAUGAGCCUAGGUCGGCUUAGCUAGUUGUUGGGGUAAAGGCCUACCACGGCGACGAUCCGUAACUGGUCUGAGAGGAUGAUCAGUCACACUGGAAAUGAGACACGGUCCAGACGCCUACGAGAGGCAGCAGUGGGGAAUAUUGGACAGUGGGCGAAAGCCUGAUCCAGCCAGGCCGCGUGUGUGAAGAAGGUCUUCGGAUUGUGAAGCACUUUAAGUUGGGAGGAAGGGCAGUAAGUUAAUACCUUGCUGUUUUGACGUUACCAACAGAAUAAGCACCGGCUAACUUCGUG